ensembl:lncRNA
CCAAAGCCUGCCUUAACAUCAGUCCCAGAGCCUGGUGAGUCAACUCCCAGGGACAUACCAGAGUAUGCUGUGGUGAGGAAGGCACUGAAGAAGUCCCACUCCCUGCCAGAGACUGUGAAUGUGCCGGUCACAGCGCCCCCUGGUUUGCAGCAGGUGUUCAAGCCACCUUCUUGUUACAAGGAGGACACUGUGUGCCAUGACAGACCCAGUGGUGAGAGUGAUACCCCUGCAACCAACAACCCCACUGAUGCCGCAUACGCCCGUGUCAACAAACCUCCGCGAGCCAUGACCCAGACUCCACUGGCUUCUGUCAGCAGUUCAGCCUCCAGCCUGCAGGGGGCGAUGGCUCACUCUGCCCCCACAUCGCCACAGGCCUCAGCAGAGCAGAAGUACUGGCAUCUGGAACCAGAGCACACCUACGAGGAGACUCCUGCCACUGCCACACGGGAGCCGAUUGAUUUCUAUGCCAUGGGCCGGCGGAGAGAGGUGGAGCGUAAUGAGGGGAUUUCUGGAAAUCAUAUCUACUCUGAGGUCAACGUCCGUGGUGCUAGGGGGAUAGCUACGCUUCCCCCGGAGCCUGCACCAGCUAGACCUAGCAACACUGCUACACUUCCUGCUUCGUCAAGGACCACCCCUAACCUCCCUUUGAGGCCACCCCCGAGACACCCCA